CUCGUAGGCGGCCAACUAAGUCAUACGUGAAAUCCCUCGGCUUAACCGGGGAACUGCGUCUGAUACUGGAUGGCUUGAGUUCGGGAGAGGGAUGCGGAAUUCCAGGUGUAGCGGUGAAAUGCGUAGAUAUCUGGAGGAACACCGGUGGCGAAGGCGGCAUCCUGGACCGAUACUGACGCUGAGGAGCGAAAGCCAGGGGGAGCAAACGG
rnacentral:rRNA from 1 species